rnacentral:rRNA from 1 species
UACGUAGGAGACGAGCGUUGUCCGGAGUUACUGGGCGUAAAGGGUGCGCAGGCGGCCUGGCGCGUCGCGAGUGAAAUCUCCUGGCUCAACUGGGAGGGUGGUCGUGAGACGGCUGGGCUUGAGGCUCGGUGAGGGGCGUGGAAUUCCGGGUGGAGCGGUGAAAUGCGUAGAGAUCCGGAGGAACACCGACGGCGAAGGCAGCGCCCUAGACGAGACCUGACGCUCAGGCACGAAAGCGCGGGGAGCGAACAGG